GUUGCGCUAAAAACUGAUCGCGUUUUUGAAAGUAUGUUGCGUUAAAAAAUGAUCGCGUUUUUGAAAGUAAUGUUGCGUUAAAAAAUGAUCGUGUUUUUGAAAGUAGUGUUGUGUUAAAAAAUGAUCGCGUUUUUGAAAGUAGUGUUGCGUU